rnacentral:rRNA from 1 species
UAAUACGAAGGGGGCUAGCGUUGUUCGGAAUUACUGGGCGUAAAGCGCGCGUAGGCGGUGAUCUUUGUCAGAGGUGAAAGCCCGGGGCUCAACUCCGGAAUUGCCUUUGAAACGGGAUCGCUUGAGUCCGAGAGAGGAUGGCGGAAUUCCUAGUGUAGAGGUGAAAUUCGUAGAUAUUAGGAAGAACACCGGUGGCGAAGGCGGCCAUCUGGCUCGGUACUGACGCUCAGGCGCGAAAGCGUGGGGAGCAAACAGGAUUAGAUACCCUGGUAGUCCACGCCGUAAACUAUGAAUGCUAGUUGUUAGGAAGUUUACUUCUUAGUGACGCAGCUAACGCGUUAAGCAUUCCGCCUGGGGAGUACGGUCGCAAGAUUA